rnacentral:rRNA from 1 species
UACGAAGGGGGCUAGCGUUGCUCGGAUUGACUGGGCGUAAAGGGCGCGUAGGCGGUUUGUACAGUCAGACGUGAAAUUCCUGGGCUCAACCUGGGGGCUGCGUUUGAUACGUAUGGACUUGAGUUCGGAAGAGGGUCGUGGAAUUCCCAGUGUAGAGGUGAAAUUCGUAGAUAUUGGGAAGAACACCGGUGGCGAAGGCGGCGACCUGGUCCGAUACUGACGCUGAGGCGCGAAAGCGUGGGGAGCAAACAGG